rnacentral:rRNA from 1 species
UGAGUAACACGUAUCCAACCUGCCGUCUACUCUUGGCCAGCCUUCUGAAAGGAAGAUUAAUCCAGGAUGGCAUCAUGAGUUCACAUGUCCGCAUGAUUAAAGGUAUUUUCCGGUAGACGAUGGGGAUGCGUUCCAUUAGAUAGUAGGCGGGGUAACGGCCCACCUAGUCAACGAUGGAUAGGGGUUCUGAGAGGAAGUUCCCCCACAUUGGAACUGAGACACGGUCCAA